GAACGUUCCGGAUUAUUGGGUUUAAGGGUGCGUAGGCGGAUUAAUAAGUCAGUGGUGAAAACCUUCAGCUUAACUGGAGACUUGCCAUUGAUACUGUUAGUCUUGAGUACGGUCAAGGUAGGCGGAAUGUGUAAUGUAGCGGUGAAAUGCUUAGAUAUUACACAGAACACCGAUUGCGAAGGCAGCUUACUGGGCCAUUACUGACGCUGAUGCACGAAAGCGUGGGGAGCGAACAGGAUUAGAUACCCUGGUAGUCCACGCCGUAAACGAUGAUCACUCGCUGUUGGCGAUACACAGUCAGCGGCUAAGCAAAAGCAUUAAGUGAUCCACCUGGGGAGUACGGCCGCAAGGCUGAAACUCAAAGGAAUUGACGGGGGCCCGCACAAGCGGAGGAACAUGUGGUUUAAUUCGAUGAUACGCGAGGAACCUUACCUGGGCUUAAAUGUAGAGUGCAUGAAGUGGAAACAUUUCUUUCCUUCGGGACUCUUUGCAAGGUGCUGCAUGGUUGUCGUCAGCUCGUGCCGUGAGGUGUCGGGUUAAGUCCCAUAACGAGCGCAACCCUUAUCGUUAGUUGCCAUCAUUGAGUUGGGCACUCUAAAGAAACUGCCCCGGUUAACGGGGAGGAAGGUGGGGAUGACGUCAAGUCCUCAUGGCCCUUAUGGGUAGGGCUUCACACGUCAUACAAUGGUCGGUACAAAGGGUUGCCAACCCGCGAGGGGGAGCCAAUCCCAGAAAGCCGAUCGUAGUCCGGAUUGCAGGCUGCAACUCGCCUGCAUGAAGUCGGAAUCGCUAGUAAUCGUGGAUCAGCAUGUCACGGUGAAUACGUUCCCGGGUCUUGUACC
rnacentral:rRNA from 1 species